rnacentral:lncRNA from 1 species
AUCCAGCAGAUAAAGUUUUAAACAUUUAUAUUUUUCAACAUGAAACACAGAACAACACUCAUUCAAACAACAAAACAAAAACAAACAUAAAUUGACAGACAUAUGGACAAUUUGGUGCACCAAGAACAGACAAUAGACAGGGAUUAGAACUUGAUGUCUCAAAGGGACCCAGAUAUCCUAACCAGAACUAAGAAUAUCUCCAUAGGAGACAGAGAGGAAGCAAGGCGUCUCCCGAUUUCCUCCUGUCCCUAGGAGAGCUCUAAAAUAGCUUAUUUCCAUUUUUCUUCUCUUUUGCUAAAAGGUCCCGAACAGGGGAUAACUGCUUUUCUGAAACCUAGUCUCUCUAUCUUUUUCUCUCUCAUGUUCAAAGUCUAAUUCUUUAUCUCCUUCUUCUGGGAAUUCUGCCAGCAAAGGGUGAGGAGUCACAGUGGUAGCUUCUGAUAGUUGCUGCCCAGUGCCCUGCUUUUCUAACUCUCCUAAUUACUCCUCAAACUUGUCAAAUUCUUUCAUAUAUAUAUGAAUACACACACACACACACAUAUCAUUCCUACUUCUGGGAAUUAAGAACAACGUAAAUGUAAGAAUUUUUCUAACACCUGUUAUUAUGUUUUUGUAGUUUUGUGUUUUACUCUUUAUUUAUUUUAUUUUAUUUUAAACCCUAUUCCUCCCACCUAGAGCAGCUCUUGGCUGUGAACAAAUUUUCUUAACCCAUGUUCCUCGUGUCUUGAGGGAUUCCUUGAGAUCCUGUUAAAAACAAUUCAUGUCUACUUAAUGUGUGUCCCAUAUUCUAGCCACUCUUCCUACCUUUCUCGGGUUUACUGUCGAUGGAGUCCCCCAUGCCCAUUUCUCAUCUCCUGUAUCUACUCUCAGGCAUUCCUUUACUAAGGACCACAAAGUAAAAGCUUCAAUGGGCACCUUUUCAGGACCAUGAGCAGCCUAAAAGCUUCUAAUUCGCUCACCAAUUUUAUUCCAUGUUUCCACAUUAAUAGUACCAUCCCUAGGAUGGUAGGCCUGGUCAGAGUCCCUCAUUAACUUGUACCAUGAAGCUUGGCCACAGGACAGCAGUAGAUCCUCUAUUUGGGGGAUUCAAGAGAUCAAAUGACUCAGACAGCUGGGGCAUUACUAGCUCUGCACUGCCACCCCAGGGACAGACAGAGCCCUAGUAUGGGAAAUAUUUAUUUUAGGAGAAUUUAUUUGUCUCCAAGAGAACUUACUGUUCCUCUUACAAAGAACAGGGUAUUUUGUGUACAUAAUUUGUUACACACUCGUUGCCCACUGCUGCAAUCUCUACCUAAGUUGAUAAGUCCUGCAGAGUAACUUCAGUCAAUGUCAAAUGGUAACAACAACUAAAUCAAACAGUAGCCAUGAAUUUGAAAGCACUGUGUAUUUAAUGCAAGGU